rnacentral:rRNA from 1 species
AACGAACGCCGGCGGCGUGCCUAACACAUGCAAGUCGAACGUGAAAGUCCUUCGGGAUGAGUAAAGUGGCGCACGGGUGAGUAACACGUAGGUGACCUACCUUUUAGAGGGGAAUAACCAGAAGAAAUUUUGGCUAAUGCCGCAUACGAAGCACAAAUAUAAUAGUAGUGCUUGAAAGGAUGCCUCUGUAUAUGCAUUCACUAAAAGAUGGGCCUGCGGGACAUUAGCUAGUUGGUGGGGUAAAGGCCUACCAAGGCAACGAUGUCUAUCCGGUCUGAGAGGAUGAUCGGACACACUGGAACUGAGACACGGUCCAGACUCCUACGGGAGGCAGCAGUGGGGAAUAUUGCGCAAUGGGGGAAACCCUGACGCAGCAACGCCGCGUGAGUGAGGAAGGACUUCGGUCUGUAAAGCUCUGUUAAUGUGGAAAAAUGAUAGUUGGUCUAAUAGGCCGAUUAUUUGAUGGUACACAUAGAGGAAGCACCGGCUAACUUCGUGCCAGCAGCCGCGGUAAUACGAAGGGUGCAAGCGUUGUUCGGAUUUAUUGGGCGUAAAGCGCGCGUAGGCGGACCUGCAAGUCAGAUGUGAAAUCUCGGGGCUCAACCUCGAAACUGCGUCUGAAACUACAGGUCUAGAAUCUUGGAGGGGGAAGGGGAAUUUCGCAUGUAGGGGUAAAAUCCGUAGAUAUGCGAAGGAACACCAGAGGCGAAGGCGCCUUCCUGGACAAGUAUUGACGCUGAGGCGCGAAAGCGUGGGGAUCAAACAGGAUUAGAUACCCUGGUAGUCCACGCUGUAAACGAUGAAUACUAGGUAUUGGAGGAUUUGACCCCUACAGUGCCGUAGCUAACGCGUUAAGUAAUCCGCCUGGGAAGUACGGUCGCAAGACUA